rnacentral:rRNA from 1 species
GACGAACGCUGGCGGCGUGCUUAACACACGCAAGUCGAACGGUGAAGCGCUUGCCUUUUUGGUGGGUGUGGAUGCGUGGCGAACGGGUGAGUAACACGUGAGUAACCUGCCCUCUUCUUCUGGAUAACCUCAUUAGAGUGGGUCUAAUACGGGGUAUUCCGGGUCUGUCUCAUGGCGGGUUUGGGAAAGCUUGCGCCUUUGGGUGUUUUCGGUGGGGGAUGGGCUCGCGGCCUAUCAGCUUGUUGGUGGGGUGCUGGCCUGCCAAGGCGGUGACGGGUAGAGGGCCUGAGAGGGAGGACGGCCACACGGGGACUGAGACACGGCGCAGACGCGUGAGGGAGGCAGCAGUGGGGAAUAUUGCACAAGGGGCGCAAGCCUGAUGCAGCGACGCCGCGUGAGGGAUGGAGGCCUUCGGGUUGUGAACCUCUUUCGCCAGUGAAGCAGGCCUGCUCCUGUGUGGGUGGGUUGACGGUAGCUGGAUAAGAAGCGCCGGCUAACUACGUG